CAGUCCAACCCGCUGAUGAUCGCCAGGCGUGUCUAAGUAUAAGCAAUUUAUACAGUGAAACUGCGAAUGGCUCAUUAAAUCAGUUAUCGUUUAUUUGAUAGUACCUUUACUACUUGGAUAACCGUGGUAAUUCUAGAGCUAAUACAUGCUAAAAAUCCCGACUGUUUGGAAGGGAUGUAUUUAUUAGAUAAAAAAUCAAUGCUCUUUGAGCUCUUUGAUGAUUCAUAAUAACUUUUCGAAUCGCAUGGCCUUGUGCUGGCGAUGGUUCAUUCAAAUUUCUGCCCUAUCAACUUUCGAUGGUAGGAUAGUGGCCUACCAUGGUUUCAACGGGUAACGGGGAAUAAGGGUUCGAUUCCGGAGAGGGAGCCUGAGAAACGGCUACCACAUCCAAGGAAGGCAGCAGGCGCGCAAAUUACCCAAUCCCGACACGGGGAGGUAGUGACAAUACAUAACGAUACAGGGCCCUUUCGGGUCUUGUAAUUGGAAUGAGUACAAUGUAAAUACCUUAACGAGGAACAAUUGGAGGGCAAGUCUGGUGCCAGCAGCCGCGGUAAUUCCAGCUCCAAUAGCGUAUAUUAAAGUUGUUGCAGUUAAAAAGCUCGUAGUUGAACUUUGGGCUUGGUUGGCCGGUCCGCCUUUUUGGCGAGUACUGGACCCAACCGAGCCUUUCCUUCUGGCUAACCAUUCGCCCUUGUGGUGUUUGGCGAACCAGGACUUUUACUUUGAAAAAAUUAGAGUGUUCAAAGCAGGCCUUUGCUCGAAUAUAUUAGCAUGGAAUAAUAGAAUAGGACGUUAUGGUUCUAUUUUGUUGGUUUCUAGGACCAUCGUAAUGAUUAAUAGGGACGGUCGGGGGCAUCAGUAUUCAGUUGUCAGAGGUGAAAUUCUUAGAUUUACUGAAGACUAACUACUGCGAAAGCAUUUGCCAAGGACGUUUUCAUUAAUCAGAACGAAGUUAGGGGAUCGAGAUGAUCAGAUACCGUCGUAGUCUUAACCAUAACUAUGCCGACUAGGGAUCGGGUGUUGUUCUUUUUUUGACGCACUCGGCACUUACGAGAAUCAAGUCUUUGGGUCUGGGGGGAGUAUGUUCGCAGCUGAACUAAGGAUGACGGAAGCACACAGAAUGGGAGCCUGCGCUAAUGACUUCACCUGGCAACUCACAGGUUCCGACAUAGAUUGAACAGAUUGGAGAGAGCCCCU
rnacentral:rRNA from 1 species